ensembl:misc_RNA Y_RNA Y RNA
GGCUGGUCCGAAGGUAGUGAGUUAUCUCAAUUGAUUGUUCACAGUCAGUACCGAUUGAACUCCUUGUUCUACUCUUUCCCCCCUUCUCACUACUGCACUUGACUAGUCUUAA